ACGGGUGAGUAACACGUAGGUAACCUACCCUUCAGUGGGGGACAACAGAGGGAAACUUCUGCUAAUACCGCAUACGAUCACGGACUGGGAUGUUCGUGGUGAAAGGAUUUAUUCGCUGAGGGAUGGGCCUGCGGCCUAUCAGGUAGUUGGUGGGGUAAUGGCCUACCAAGCCUGCGACGGGUAGCCGGACUGAGAGGUCGAUCGGCCACACUGGAACUGAGGCACGGUCCAGACUCCUACGGGAGGCAGCAGUGGGGAAUAUUGCACAAUGGGGGAAACCCUGAUGCAGCGACGCCGCGUGGAGGAUGACGGCCUUCGGGUUGUAAACUCCUUUUGUCGGGGACAAUGGUGAUGGUACCCGACGAAUAAGCCACGGCUAACUCUGUGCCAGCAGCCGCGGUAAGACAGAGGUGGUGAGCGUUGUUCGGAAUUACUGGGCUUAAAGGGCGCGUAGGCGGUGGUGUAAGUCUAGGGUGGAAUGCUACAGCUCAACUGUAGAGCUGCCUUGGAAACUGCAUUACUUGAGUCGGUGAGGGGAAGGUGGAAUUCCAGGU
rnacentral:rRNA from 1 species